UCCCUCCUGGGAGUUCUGUCCGCCAACGGUGCGGCUGCUCAGAGGUAUAUGUACUAUGGCCUUCCUGCCCUUCUGAUUUGGGAAAUUCAGAGAGGAGACAGUCUAGUCCUGCUUAGGAAAUUUUAUCCGUCUCCAUUAUCCUGGCUUUAGGGGAGUCUGACACCAUGAGAGGUUAAGAAACUAAUCGAGAUCAUGACAGCAAAAACAGGACAGAGCCAAAUUUGGAACCCAGUAUUUUAUAACUCCAAAUCUAAAAGAACUUGCAGCCACUGACCAGACCCCUUUCAAUUAUGUCAGGGAAACUGAGUAAGCUGGUUGUCACAUAUUUACCGGGACACCGCCGCUCAUCUCCCCUCUCAAUGAUCAGGUGAUGCAAGAGGGAAAAGCCUGAGACGGAUUCAUAAAUGGCUCGAUUGGGUUUGUUGGUGAAAGCUGGAAAUGAACAGAGGCUGCACUGCCGCCUCACUCAGCAUGGUCCUGAAAGAUUAGCGAGAGACAGAGAGAGAGAGAGACAGAGCGUGAGCGCUGGAGCAGAGAGAGAGAGGGAGACACAGAAUCCGAAGCAGGCUCCAGGCUCUGAGCUGUCAGCACAGAGCCCAACAUGGGGCUUGAACUCACGAACUGCGAGAUCAUGACCUGAGCCGAAGUCGGAUGCUUAACUGACUGAGCCCCCCAGGCCCUCUGAGAAUUGACAUCUUUAAUAUGCUGAGUCUUUCAAUAUAUAUAAGUGGUAUUGUAUUUUUAAUUUUGCCUUCCACAUAUUCAUGGCUAGUAUGUAUACAAUUACUGAUAUGUGUACCAAUAUACAAUUGAUUUUGUAUGUUGAUCUUAUAGCCUGCAACCUUGCUAAAGUUGCUUAGCAUUCUAGGAGUUUUGGUUUUUUUAACAAAGUUCUUGUCAUUUUCUAAGGUAGAUCCAUAUGUCAUCUACAAGCAGGUUGUUUUAUUUCUUCCUUCCCAAAUGUAUCCUUUAAAAAAAAUUUCCGUUUCUUCCCUUAUUACUCUGGCCCGAACACCCAGUACUAUGUUGACAGCAAUGGUAAGAGUGGACAACAUUGUUUUCCUGAUCUUAGGGGGAAAGCAUUCAGUCUUUCAAAUGAAGUUCGGUGUUAGCUGUAGUUUUGUAGAUGUUCUUUAUGAAAUUGUGGAAGUUCUCCUAUAGUUCUAAUUUUCUGAGAGUUUUUAUUAUCAAGGGGUGCUAAAUUAUGUUGAAUGUUGCUUCUGCCUCCGUCGGAAUGAUCAUGUGAUUUUUCUCCCUUAGCCAGUCAAUAUGGUGGAUCACACUGAUCGAUUUAUGAAUAUUGCUUUCAUAAGAAAUAAGAACGAAUUUAAAAAGGGAAUUUUCUAUCCACCGUUGAAAGCCCUGGAUUCAUAUACUUUUCGUAUUUUAUCUUCUUUAUCUCCAAUAAUAUACGUUUCCUUUGUCUGUGCUCUGGUCCCACACACAGAAUUUAAGAAUAUGGUGAAGAAUAGGGGAAUACAAUAGAAUGAAACCCAGAGGCGUUGCUUCCUUCACCCAUUUGCAUAGCCACUUACUUGGCUUUCAUUAUCUCUCCCCUGGAGUAUUCUAACAGCCUCCACCGGCCUCCUUGCUUGCCUCCAGCCUUGUUCUCUUCCCAUUCAUUUUCUCUGUAGCUAUCUGUCACAAUUGCUUUUUUGUUUUUUUUUAACACAUACAUUUAAUCAGGAGACUUGCCUAUUUAAACCUUUUUGUGAAUUCUUUGUGUGCAGAGGAUGAAAUGAAACACAAGCCCCUUCACAUAUGGUCCUGCCACUUCCGCCAUUGUACUUUUUCUGUCACUGUCCUAAACUAGGCCCUAAAAUCUAGCCCCUGAACCACUCAGAGGUUCCUGAAUAAACCAAAUAUUUUGGCUUCAUUCAUGUUAUUUUCCUUUAAUUUUCUUUUCUUUUUUUUUUUUUUUUAAGUUUAUUGAUUUAUUUUGAGGGAGAGAGUGCAUGAGUGAGCACAGGUAAGGGGAGGGGCAGAGAGAGAGGGAGAAAGAAUCCCAAGCAGGCUCCGCACUGUCAUUGCAGGGCCCAAGGUGGGACUCGAACCCUCGAACUAUGAGAUCAUGACCUGAGCCAAAAUCACGAGUCAGACGCUCAACCGACCGAGCCACCCAGCUGCCCCAUUUUCCCCUAAUUUAACUCCUGCGACAAAAAUUUAUCUAUCUUUAAAGACAAAAUGAAAAAGAAAUCGCCAUUUCAGACAUCCAAUGUCUUUCUUGACUCUUCUAUUUUAAGGAAAAUGAAUCACUCCUUUUUUUUAUGUCCCAUGGUCCUUUUACUCUAUCAUCCAUGACCUUAUUGAUCUUCCUGAUCAACAAGCAUACCAUGUUUUCUGAUAAGUAUAAUAAUACUAAUGAGGAAAAUGGAUAAAAUAUUUUAAAUCAAGACUCCAUAGCACAUCUGACAAUAUAUUAUAAUUACAGUAUAUUAAAAUGCUCUGUCAUCCUCUCCAUAAGCACAUUAGGCAGUAAAAUAUAAUUACCAUAGUUCCUUGAUUUGAAGACACUAUUGGUUUUAAGAUGGCACGUUUAUUUACUAAUGACUUUUUAAAAGAACCGUUAAACUACAUCAAAUUUUUUAAACUACCAAACUUCUCCAGAUCAUCACGUUCUACUUUUUUGUUUAGUAUUACAAAGUUUGAGUGUAAGUCUUCAACAUACUGAAAAUCUAAGGGUCCUUCUGAAUCACAUCUCAACACCUGCAGUUUGCCUACCAUUGUGGUUUAGUUCAUGAUCAGGUUGUAAUCUGAACUGAUGAUGGUGACCUCUUUAGGACCUUUAGGUAAGACCAUUAAGUACUGAAGUAUAUUAAACAUUAUCAGAGUUUUGUCUUUGUUUCUUAUUUUGUUAAACUCAGAGUCUUGAUUGCUCCAUUACUGAAAGUUAAAUGGCUUCUCUCUAAGUGACAGGAAGAUUCGAACAAAGAAACUUCUAGAACCUGAGUGACAAUUCUUCAUGGUGUGUGAAUUGGUCACACCCAUCUCUCCCAGGUUUGGGAAGUUCUGUCAGCUAUUCCUGAGAGACUCGGCUGUUUGUACUGCCUGUGAUCGCAUUGUCUGUUGAAGAGAGGCUCUUUUCUUUGUGUCCAAUAUUAAUGUUUUUUUUUUUUAAUUUUUAAAAAGAUUUUAUUUUAAGUAAUCUCCACAUCCAAUGUGGGGCUUGAACUUACAGCCUCAACAUCAAGAGUCACAUGCCAUACCCACUGAGCCAGCCAGGCGCCCUGAUAUUAUUUUGUUUUAAUGCUUCAUCACAACAUAAUCUUCUGAAAGACAUUUGAAGCAACAAUUAAAAAUCCAAAGUUCAGUUAUAGUUUUGUCACCAAUGGAAAUAACUUGCAGAGCCGAGAAAAGGAUAAAUAGAUUCACUGUAUGGCACUAAAUAGUUCCAUGCUUGGGCCUUCCCGCUUGUAUUAUCCCAGAUGGUGACAACUGACUCUUUUGCCUGGCAGUUGGUAGGAAAGUGAGAAUGGACGUUGAUUGUAAAUUGUAAGACACACUCCAAUUCCAGAAAUAUGGAACAUGAACACUUUUGCAUUUACAAUCACAAAAUUAAGAUGGUUGCCAAUGCCUUUGUUUCCUUUGCAAGACUAUACACCCCUUAGUUCUGCUAUUUCUUCAGUUUCAUCUCUGUGUUGCUAAAGUCCAGUAUGGUGCUUGGUAUGUAUUACGUGCUCAAUAAAGACUAUAGAAAUAAGUGGGUAAAUGCAAACUAGAAGCUAGUCAGGUAACUAAUGGCACAUGUUCAUCUAUCAGUUAUUUAGUUGGACUGACAUGGGUUUGAAAGAGUGGUUCUUGAUUUAUUCUUCCUCGUUCCAUGGAUUGUGAUGGAGAUGUUUUAUUUCUCAAUUUGAAGAAGUUCUUCUCAAAUUCAGGAGUAAAAAGCUCACAUAAAUGGAUAGAAUUUUCUCACUUAAUGGGGCGCCUGGGCGGCUCAGUCGGUUAAGUGUCCGUCUUCGGCUCGGGUCAUGAUCUCUCGGGUCGUGAGCUCAAGCCCUGUGUUGGGUUCUGUGGUGACAGUUCAGAGCCUGGAGGCUGCUUGGGAUUCUGUCUCUCUCUCUCUCUCUCUGUCUCUUCACCUUCCCUACUCGUGCUCUCUCUCUUUCUCCCUCCCUCAAAAAUAGACAUUUAAAACAUUUUAAAAAAAGAACUUUCUCACUUAAACUGUUUAUUAAUCUUUGAAAUGUGCUUCUAUUUCUCUAAUAGGUUUCAGUUUACAAGCAAGUGAAUAAACAAAUAGCAAACAAAUAGUAACAGGGCACUUUAGAAAUAUCUGAUAGCUCUUAUGUCCAGAGAUUGAUUUUUCAAGGAAAGGUGUGCUGAAGGCUGUGAUUCUCUAUUGCAUAUCCAUACACGUGCGGAACACAGGCUAGUAAAGUCGUUAUUGGCUGAUCUGAUAGAAUUAAAUAAACCAGUAUUUCAUGGUGCUAUUCUCAGCUGCCCUGUCUUCCCAGAGGCUCUUUAAAGAGGGAGGCAUGAAAAGCCUGAGAGUGCAGUGUUCUAGUCAGCCAUUGCUAUGGGACAAACUAUCCCAAGCUUAUUGGCUUAAACCAACAACCGUUUUGGGAGAUCUCACAAUUUAGGGCCUGAGGCAUUGAGGCAGGGGUCAGCAGAAGUAUUCAGUGCGGCAUCACCUAAAAGCACUCGGCAGUAUCCAACUGAAGGCUAGGCUGGCCGGAAGAGCUCAAGUUGGCCUUAACUCACACGUCUGGUGGCUCGGCAAGUUGGACGAAACACUGAGUUCAGCUGGGACUGGCCACUGGCGUGCCUACGUGUGGCUUUUCUGUCAUGGUGGCCUCAGGGUAAUUUGUGUUCUUACUUGGCAGCCCAGGACUGCAUGAUCGUUUAUGAGCCAAUCUCAGAAUCGUGUUGUGGCACCUCCGUCACGUUCUAUUGGUCCAAGCCUGCCCGGACUCGAAAGGAAGGGACACGCAUCAAAGGAAUGAGCAUCAAAGGAUUGGCAGUUUUUAAUCAAUCUCUGGCUGGCUCCUACCUCUUGGAGAGAAAGCCUCUCUCGUUCAGAAGCCACCCAGCGUCCCUCCCUCAUCCAUUCAUUCAGAUCAUUAAUGAAGAUGUUAAAUGAGACCAGAAUGAAACCGCGUCCCCGUGGCAUCCCGGGAAGACACCUUCCAACAACUUGACACUCUGCCAUUUGCUGUUUCAUUACCCUUUGUUUACCUUGCAAACACAGGCCCUCGCUUUUGAAAGAGGCAGAAAGCUUGAUAUUUCUAUUGCUGCAGAGAUGCCACUGAAGGGUGGGGACAUGAAAACCUGGCAUAUUGUAAAUACGUCCUUUUGAGUUUGAAAUAAACGUGGAUUACAAAUUGAGCAUUGUCAGUGAAUACUUCUUGCUCU